GGUGGCGGACUAGGGACGAGGGUCGGGGCUAAUGUCUGUCAAGAAAGGGGUUCCGUUUGUCUUUCCUCCCUGGGACAUGAGGGAGUGGAGGGGUAAGCCGCACAGGGCAGCGAGGGGGCGCGACAAGACCCGCGGCCAGAGCCCCCGAGGCCAGGCCUGGGCCCGCGGGCGGUCGCUGCUGGAGCCAGGAAGUAGAGGGGCGCAGACGACGCGAGAAAAAUUGUGGAUGCCCUGGAACGGGCUCAUCGUGAUCGGGAAGAGAAUGGAGCUCCUGGGUAGAAAUACGCAAAAGCCUAGGAUGUGGGACCCGAAGCUUGAGUCUGAGGACUCGAGAGUGGAAGAUGUGGAGAAGACAGCCUUGAGAGGAAAAUCAGGCCGGAGUCAGGGUGCGAGACGAGGGCACAGUGUAGCCAGUGCAUUACAGGCUUCCGCGGGUUUGGGGAAAGAGCGCUCAAAGAAGAUGUGGGGAAAGCAAGAAGUCAGACACAAAAUCGAGGCUGAAUCUGAGAAUGCCGGGACAACGCCAGGGCCUAGGAAGGGGUCUGGGUUUAAAGAGAGGUUGAACUUUACUGGAGGGAGGACCAGUGGUGAGGACUUGAGAUCCAGAGGCAAUGACCUAGGGCAGAAUGAGGAGGAGCUGAGGUCUGGUGGAGAGAAGCUGAGGCUGAGUGGAGAGAAGCUGAGGCUGAGUGGAGAGAAGCUGAGGUCGAGUGGGGAGAAGCUGAGGUCGAGUGGGGAGAGGCUGAGGUCGAGUGGGGAGAGGCUGGGAUCGAGUGGGGAGAGGCUGAGAUCGAGUGGGGAGAGGCUGAGGUCGAGUGGGGAGAAGCUGAGGUCGAGUGGGGAGAGGCUGAGGUCGAGUGGGGAGAGGCUGGGAUCGAGUGGGGAGAGGCUGAGAUCGAGUGGGGAGAGGCUGAGGUCGAGUGGGGAGAGGCUGGGAUCGAGUGGGGAGAGGCUGAGAUCGAGUGGGGAGAGGCUGAGGUCGAGUGGGGAGAGGCUGAGGUCGAGUGGGGAGAAGCUGAGGUCGAGUGGGGAGAAGCUGAGGUCGAGUGGGGAGAAGCUGAGGUCGAGUGGGGAGAAGCUGAGGUCGAGUGGGGAGAAGCUGAGGUCGAGUGGGGAGAAGCUGAGGUCGAGUGGGGAGAAGCUGAGUUCAAGCAGAGAGAAGCUGGUGUUUAGGGGAGAGAAGCUGGGGACUAGUGGAGAGGAUUUGAGAUCCACUGGAGAUCAACGUCCGUCAAGUAUAGAGAAGCUGGGAUCCAGUAGGGAGAAGCUGGAGAGUAGUGGAGAGAAGCUGGAGGGUUUAAGAACGGGGAGCAUACAAGAAGAGAAAGUUGAAAACAUGGUAGAAGUUACUGAUGAUGAAAGAUUGAUAGAAAUUGUGGAUGCUGAGAUGGAAAUGCCUUUCAAAAAGGUAGAGGAGAAUGAUGAAGAGCUAGAAGAGACUGAGGAAGGGGUGGAGGCUGAAGAGGAUGCCUUAGAGGGAGUGAAUGAUAAUACUGAUGAAUCUGUUUCUAUGGAAGAGAAAGAGAAUAUAGAUGAAGGUACCAGUGAAUGAGACGGAUGAAGGAUUUAAGCUAAAGAAGGAAGGAGAAGCAGAUAGGGAAAGUAUUACAAGUCAAAGAGGAGAAAUUAGAGCCAAGCAGGUUAUUGAUCCUCAAGGGGUAAAUAGGAGAGAGAAAGGAGAGCAUCUGAGCCUAAGAGGAGAGAGAGUAGGAUUGAAGAGCUACUGAGAGUGAAGGCAGAGACCAGGACCAAAGGAAGUGGAGAAGAGUCAUAAAGAGGGAAAUGGAACAUUUUGAGAAGAAAGAGAAGACUUGUUAGUCUGUUGAUAAGAAGAGGAAAAAUGGACAUUGGUUUCUUGGAAAGGAGCUAUGACUCAGGAGCUUGAAGGGAAACAGUUGAGAAGUGGAUUCAGGAUGAGCUAGGUUUUAAUUUAACACGUGACUGGGCUUAUGAGACGUAGGAGAAUGCCUAGCGAGAAAAACAGAACAUCGCAGCAGGGCUGAGGGCGGGGUCAUGAAGUUGUGGAAGAAGAUGUGGGCUGCUGUAGACAAAGUCAGUUUCUGAAGGAGGCCACUAAAGAAGAAGGAGGGACUCUGAAGUGACAAAAGCAGAAGCAGAGAGAAGAAAAUAAAGAAGUGAAGAAAAAAACCUCAUUUUGGGAAAUCCCAUCAUCUAAUAGCAUCCAGAGAAGGUGACCUUAAGAGAUCUCUGCCCUCCCAAGAUCGUCCACUGCUGGCUGCCUCUGGUGAUUAUCUGAGCACCAAGAAAGUGUUGCCUCUCUUCUGAGACACCUGCACGGCCACAAGGUCAAGACGGGCAGCUUUCCGUGGUGUGGGCCUCUCCGACUGCGCUGCAUGCUGUAGGAAUUGGGGACCAAGUAAUGAGACUUGUUCUCUGGCUGGAUUAUAUUUGCUCCCGGAGCAUCUCACGCAUUCCACUGACGUCACAGAAGAAAGAAGUGAAGCUGGAGAAACCGUGACCCCCCUGAAGAUGCCCAGGACUGUUCUUUGGCAUUUGUCCAAAGUCCAGGACUGUGGUUUCAUUUUAACCAUAAAACCUUCUUUGGGAAGAAUUGCUUUUCAAUCUGGAAAGAGCCAGGCUGAUACAGAGCAGUAACACCUCCUGCCUGGAACCUGCAGGUUCUAGCUCAGCCUCCCAGCCCAGACCUGUGCAGAGCAGCGUCUCAGGAAGCACCUUCGCUCUCGGGCCUCCUCCUUGCCCCCUGGGGGGAAUUCCUCACUUGGACCUGGGCUGUCACCCCAACAGCCCUUUCCUGCCUCCUCCUCCAAACCUGCCACAGGCAGAGGGAUUGGGGCGGCCCUUCGGGCUGAUGCUAGGCUUCCCAAAGGGCGCUGUCGCCUCUGGAAAGGACUUCAACUUGGUGACAUCUGCAGAGCGCCCUGGGAGGUAACCAGUGGGCAUAGAUUCAGUUGGGAAGGAGACGGCACAGAUCUUAGAUGCCUAUCUGCUUGAUCUAAUCAGCCUGGGGAAAGGCAGGGCUAUGUCUCCAACUGGCUUGGGAGCAGGAGAGUGGCAUUGGGAACUCCUACACCAAGGAUCCUUAGAGCGAGCUGAGGCUUCUCCAUGAUUCCCGUAUCGUAAGGUUCUUACCCAUUCAACCACGGACACGUGAACUGGGACCUCUCUUUUGUCUUGGUCAUCUCCUCAGAAGCACAGGAAAACUCAUGAGAACAAGGGGGUCUGAAACACAGUAGUGCACAGAGGAGGCUCAGGCUCCUGGGGCACAUGCCAGAAGCUGUGGGAUAUUUGGGGGUGGCUGUGGACCAGAGUCCCCCUUGGGGGUGUAAGGAGAACCUUUCUGCACUACUGGCCAGUGAGAAAUUUCCUCUAAAUAAUCUUAGAAAGGGAUGGAACCAAGGCCGUAAGUCAGAGUAUGGCCCUCGUCACGAGGCUGACUGCUUAAUUAAUAGAUGGUUCCAUGGUGUGGGACGCAAGGUCGUGCAGAGCCCUGCAUGGUAGCAGUGCUGUUCUGGGACUCUGAGAAAAAGCGGUGACAAAGUGUGCAGCUGCAGGCUUGUUCCAGCUUCCCCCCCCCCCUUUUUAGGGCUGCACCCGAGGCACAUGGAAGUUCCCAG